rnacentral:rRNA from 1 species
GACGAACGCUGGCGGCGUGCCUAAUACAUGCAAGUCGAACGGAAAGGCCCUGCUCUUGCGGGGUGCACGUGUGGCGAACGGGUGUGUAACACGCGAGUAACAUGUCCCUGUCUUUGGGAUAUCACCUGGAAAAAGGGGCUCAAACCGGGUAGGAGCUCCUGCUCCACGGGGGGGGUUAGUAAGAUACGGCGGUGGGGGAUGGACUAGCGGCUUAUCAGCUUGUUGGUGGGGUAGUGGCGUUCCAAGGCUAUGACGGGUAGCCCGCCUGAGAGGGUGACCGGCCACCAUGGUCCUACGAGACGCACCAGACUCGUACGUGACGCAGCAGUGGGGAGUAUGACACAGUGGGGGGGAGCCUGAUGCAGCGACGCCGCGAGCGGGAUAACGGCUUUCGAGUGAUGAACCGCUGUCGCCUUAAACGAGGCGUGAGUGACGGUAAUUGGUAAGGAAGCAACGGCUAACUACGUG